UUGGCCAAACGUACGUUCUGGUGUGCACGUUUCUAAUCUUGUAUUCAAUUGUUUGUGGAAUUGUGACGAGGCGAUAGCACUUAUAUGAAGCAAAACACAGGUAUAUUUAUUUCAAGUUUAUGAAACCUAGCACAACGAUUGGUUAAAUUACGAAAUAUUUGCCGUGAACCGUUGCAUAAACCUAAUAUGAUGCGUUUUUAUGUAUUGAUGCUUCGUGAAGUAGCUUUUACUGGCACUGUACAUUAGCAGGCUAUUGCUGUAUGUAAUUACAAGAAGUUUUGUUCGUAUCUUUUAUGAUUACGUUCAAUUUACUGAAUUCAUUUUAGAAUUAAAUGAAAUAAAGGAGUUAAAUUUCAACAUUAAAGUGCAUUAUGUAAUAAUUAAAUUGUUGAUGAAGCGCUACCCGAAGGAUGCAUUUAAAUAUCUUUUUUUGACUGGAUGCAGUGUGUUGCUGUUGCUAAAAGAUUUUACGACAAGGAAAUGGUAAGUAACCAGAAAUAAUUUAUUUAUUUAGUAAAACCAGAAAAAAGAAAUACAAGCAGUUACAGCAUUAUAUUCUUAUUAAAUAUUUUCCCAACAAAUGGGAAAGAACUGAAGUUACCUUUGGUGCUAGUGAAAUAACAAAUCUAUAUAAAAGGUGUCUUUUUUUCCUGGACUCGAUUGGCUGAUCUUCACUUUGCACCAUUGUACAUUUAAUUUUCAACCGAUGAAUGAGCAACUGGAAAUUUAUUUGGACCCCACUGAAACAACAAAUUUCUGCUGUGGUGUAAACUUUAGAAUGUCAUAUUCUGCAUUUAAUUAAGAUCUAGAAUGGAGAAGACAAAGAAGCCCACGUAGUUCU